UGAGGAAUAUUGGUCAAUGGGUGCAAGCCUGAACCAGCCAUCCCGCGUGAAGGACGACUGCCUAUGGGUUGUAAACUUCUUUUGUAUAGGGAUAAACCUACCCUCGUGAGGGUAGCUGAAGGUACUAUACGAAUAAGCACCGGCUAACUCCGUGCCAGCAGCCGCGGUAAUACGGAGGGUGCAAGCGUUAUCCGGAUUUAUUGGGUUUAAAGGGUGCGUAGGUGGGCUUAUAAGUCAGUGGUGAAAUCUCCGAGCUUAACUUGGAAACUGCCGUUGAUACUAUAGGUCUUGAAUUAUCUGGAGGUAAGCGGAAUAUGUCAUGUAGCGGUGAAAUGCUUAGAUAUGACAUAGAACACCAAUUGCGAAGGCAGCUUACUACAUAUAAAUUGACGCUGAGGCACGAAAGCGUGGGGAUCAAACA
rnacentral:rRNA from 1 species